rnacentral:rRNA from 1 species
UACGGGGGGGGCAAGCGUUGUUCGGAAUUACUGGGCGUAAAGGGCUCGUAGGUGGCCAACUAAGUCAUACGUGAAAUCCCUCGGCUUAACCGGGGAACUGCGUCUGAUACUGGAUGGCUUGAGGUUGGGAGAGGGAUGCGGAAUUCCAGGUGUAGCGGUGAAAUGCGCAGAUAUCAGGAAGAACACCCGUGGCGAAGGCGGCUCUCUGGGACGGUACUGACGCUGAGACACGAAGGCCAGGGGAGCAAACGGG